UACGGGGGGAGCAAGCGUUGUUCGGAUUUACUGGGCGUAAAGGGCGCGUAGGCGGCGCAACAAGUCACUUGUGAAAUCUCCGGGCUUAACCCGGAGCGGUCAAGUGAUACUGUCGUGCUAGAGUGCGGAAGGGGCUACUGGAAUUCUUGGUGAUAGCGGUGAAAUGCGUAGAUAUCAAGAGGAACACCAGUGGCGAAGGCGAGUCCCUGGACGAUAACCUGACACU
rnacentral:rRNA from 1 species